rnacentral:rRNA from 1 species
UCGAUUUGGAGUUUGUUGCCUUGAGUGAUGGGCUCCGAAGCUAACGCGAUAAAUCGACCGCCUGGGGAGUACGGCCGCAAGGUUAAAACUCAAAUGAAUUGACGGGGGCCCGCACAAGCGGUGGAGCAUGUGGUUUAAUUCGAUGCAACGCGAAGAACCUUACCUGGUCUUGACAUCCACAGAAUCUAGCAGAGAUGCGAGAGUGCCUUCGGGAACUGUGAGACAGGUGCUGCAUGGCUGUCGUCAGCUCGUGUUGUGAAAUGUUGGGUUAAGUCCCGCAACGAGCGCAACCCUUAUCCUUUGUUGCCAGCGGUUUGGCCGGGAACUCAAAGGAGACUGCCGUUGAUAAAGCGGAGGAAGGUGGGGACGACGUCAAGUCAUCAUGGCCCUUACGACCAGGGCUACACACGUGCUACAAUGGCGUAUACAAAGGGAGGCGACCUCGCGAGAGCAAGCGGACCUCACAAAGUACGUCUAAGUCCGGAUUGGAGUCUGCAACUCGACUCCAUGAAGUCGGAAUCGCUAGUAAUCGUGAAUCAGAAUGUCACGGUGAAUACGUUCCCGGGCCU